GUCACUGUCAAUCAAAAAUAUUGGUUUGUCAACUUGUUCUUGAAAGUUAUUUCGAAAAGCGUUAGAUAAUGCCUAAAAAAAGAUAUAAUAGGUAUAAUGAACAAUCGCAGCUGAUGAUUUUAAAUAUAUUGGCUUUUUUUCAACUGGAAAAGGAAUAAGUCCGAAACGGAAUUGCACUUCAGAUUGAGAAUGUGAUACAGCGAGCCGCAGAUACAACAAAAUUGAGCACAACAACGAUCGCAAAUAUAAAGAAGAAUGGGAUAAAAUCAGAUCAGGAUUACGCAGCCCGUAUAUCUUCCAAGCAAAAGACAGCAAAAACCAAAAUUACAACAUAUUUGAAACAUAGAAUACGGGACAUAAUUUAUUCUGUGUACGCCAGAAAAGAAUAAGUAAUAUUGGCAACAAUAAGAGAAAAGUUCAGGGAAGAAAUUGAAUAUUUUAGUUUUCCAUUCACUCCUUAAGAAGAUGGAUCAAUAGUAUAGGCUUCAAGUGGAAAAAAUUAAAUAACAGAAAAUAUUUGAUGGACUUGCCAAAUAUUGUUCAUAAAAGAAUCAAUUUUUUAAGGUAGUAUAUCAAAAAUAGAAAUGUAGGUCCGGAAGGUUUUACUCCAGUUUUCAUUGACGAGACGUGGAUUUUCAGCAAGGGAUCAUUUCGUCGCUGGCAAGAUGACACCACACGAUGACACGGAUUCAAGGAAAAACAGUGAAGGUAGUAUAUCAAAAAUAGAAAUGUAGGUCCGGAAGGUUUUACUCCAGUUUUCAUUGACGAGACGUGGAUUUUCAGCAAGGGAUCAUUUCGUCGCUGGCAAGAUGACACCACACGAUGACACGGAUUCAAGGAAAAACAGUGAAGGUCAUCGUUAUAUCGUGGUACACGUCGGAACCAAAGAUGGCUUCAUCAAGGGUGCAAAUUUAAUAUUCAAGAGUGGAUUAAAGAUGGGAGAUCAUCAUGACAAUAUGAACAGGAAAAACUUCGAAAACUGGUUUAAAACUCAGCUGGUUCCAAAUCUUCCCCCAAAGUCAUUUGAUAAUCAUGGACAAUGCAAGUAACCAUUCUGGUUUAUUAAAAGAAAUCCCGAGAAAAUCUUGGACAAAGCAGAGACUGACCGAAUGGUUGAAGAAAAAGAAUAUUGGCUUUCCAGAAAAAGCCAUGAAAGAUAAAAUAUGGAGUAUUGCACGCAGAAAGUUCCCUAGUGAAAAAAAGUACUUCCUUGAUGAAUGUGUUAAAACCUUUAGGACGCAAAAUUUUGCGACUGCCACCAUAUCAUUGCCAGUUUAAUGCAAUUGAAAUGGUAUGGUCGGAUUGUAAACGAAAAUAUAAUCAAUAUAUUUCCAAUUUUAAGGGACCCCUUCUGAACCUUCAGAAGUUCUGACUACAUGGGAAAAGGUAAUAAACGAAAUUUCUAUAGAUCAUUGGCAAAAAUAUGUUUUUCAUACAGAAAAGGUAAUUGAAAAGGCUUGGGAGGCAAUACAAGUGUGUAAUGCCUAUGACAUUCUGCCACUUGUGAUUACGACUGACGAAGACGACGAUGACGAAGACAAUAUCUCUGAUUUCAGUUCUGACUCUGACAAUACUGACGAGAUUGAUUAAGCUUUUUUUGUUCUAGCAAAUUUUAUUUUAUGAUCGUCGUUUAAGUAUUCAAUCAUAUCAUUGCAAUUUCAUUAACUUGAUAAUGCAAUAUGACGUGUUUUUUUUCAGUUUGUAUGUUUUAUUUUUUGGAAUGGUAUUUUCAUUUUAAUGUGUUAACAUAUUCCUUCAAGCAGCAUUUUUUUUCAUGAACAAGUAAAUUAAAUCGUCAGUAUUUAAAUUUUUCCCAGCGAGUUAAAAUAAUUUUAUACCAUUAUUCACAAUUUUCUCGGUUUUGUUACGUCUACUGCUCGUGCCGAAUUCUACUUUUCAAAUAUGUUGUAGAUUUGGUUUUUGCGGUCUUUUGCUUGGAAAAUAUAUGAGCGGCGUAAUCCUGAUCUGAUUUUAUCCCAUUCUUCUUUAUAUUUGCGAUCGUUGUGCUCAAUUUUGUUGCAUCUGCGGCUCGCUCUAUCACAUUCUCAAUUUGAAGUGCAAUUCCGUUUCGGACUUGUUGUUUAUGUCCCAUUAUUUAUGAUUAAUUAUAAUAAUAUUUGUUAAUUGUUAUGUUUGUUAAUAAUACAAUAAAUACUACAAGAUUUUUUAAAAUUUUUUGGGAAUGAAAGUAUAUACACGAAUAUAAAAAUAUAAUAUGCUGCUAAAAUAAACAUUUGUUAAUUUCUGAACGUAUAAAAAUAGUCUGCUAUCUAUUAAUUUCUGAAGGCUAUGGUAAAGUUUCUAACCUAAUAUUGAUUGGCAAAAAUAUCUACGCCAUACGUUUUUUCUCACCUGGAUGACGUAACUACAAAUGGGUAUAAUUUCGACUUUAGAUAGGCAAGGUGUGCUGCGUGUCGGUGGUAUGUUAGGUAAGGCUGAUGUGAGCCAUGAUCAGAAAUUUCCGGUCAUACUUCCCGGUAAACAUAAGGUUACAAGGUUGAUUAUCCUACAAGAGCAUUAUAGACAUCUACUACAUGUACUAAGACAGGUAGAGGCUACAGAGUUGUCAAGGUAUACUUAUGUGUAUUUGUGUGCUUUGUUACAAGGACAGUUCACCUAGAACUGGUGGGGGAUUUGACGACUCAAGCAUUCUUAAAUUGUUUUAAGCGAUUUGUCGCGCGAAGCGGGGCAUGCAAUAACAUAUACUCAGAUAAUGCUACAAAUUUUUUGGGGGCAAAUAACGAAAUUCAGCAAUUAUAUCGAUUUUUACAGGAAGAAAAGCGUCAAAAGGCCUUUUCAGAUUAUAUUUCCUGUUACUUUAUAAGGUGGCAUUUUAUUCCACCACGUUCACCGCAUUUUGGUGGACUAUGGGAAUCUGCCAUUAAGUUAGCCAAGUACCAUUUUAAAAGGGUCAUAGAGGAACAAAAAUUAAUAUAUGAAGAGUUAUAUACAGUUAUAACCCAGGUUGAAUGUUGCUUGAAUUCUAGACCACUAACUCCAUUAUCGUAAGGUCCGGAGGACUUAGAAGUAUUAACACCUAGUCAUUUUUUAAUCGGUGGCUCACCCUAUGCCCUACCUCAAGAAGACAUGGCGGAAUACAACCCAAGUCGGUUACAAAGGUAUUACUUACUCACACAGCUCGUCCAAGGGUUUUGGAAAAAAUGGCAGUUAUAGUAUUUGGGUCAACUGCAGCAGCGAUACAAGUGGCAGCUAGGUCGUGUGAUAGAGUUACAUCCAGGAACAGACAGUAAAAGUAGAGUUGUUUUUAUUAAAGUUUCAAGUGGUAUAAUUAAAAGGGCUCUGUAAAUUUCACGUGUAUGUGUUUUACCGAUAGAAGGUAGUCGUUUAUCUUAGAAUUAUAUUUAUAAUGGUUAGGUUAGGUUUAGAAAGACAAGCUUUCAAGGGGGGCGGCAUGCAAGGGGGUUAGUCUUAAGCAGGCCGCACACCUACGAUGCAAAUGUUGCGCCACAAAUGCUUACGCACGCACGCGCGCGUGUUAUUUAAUUUGGAUCCACACACCUAAGAUGCAUUUGCUACCAAACGGCAUUUGAAGCCACACCGCAUUUGUGUUUACUCCCCGGAUAAUCAACCUGUCCGAUAUUUGUUGCGACGUGUCGUGUCACGUUUUAAAAUAAAAAUGAAGGACGAUAUUGCAUAGACCAUUUUAUUUAUUCAGGAAGUAGAGAAAUAUUAGAUGACCACACUUUGCAGGUAACAUUCAAUAGUAAGCUUGAAAUUCAUCAUCAUGAUUUAAUCAUUGCUUUGAUACUUCAAAAUUUCCCUUUUUGGAACAACCAUUAUUAUAGGGAUGAACCCAGUAACGACGUUUUCUUCGGUUUUGAGUUAAUAAUUGCCACAUCAUAAAAUUAUCGUCAUCAGAAGACGACGACAUGGCUACAAAUGCGGAACAGAACUAAGCCCUGAUGUGCGUGCUUGUACCGCAUUUGUGGCAAAUGUACAAAAUGUUGAACGAAAUUAUGUCAAAAAACAAAUGUGGCGCCACAUUUGUAACUUAGGUGUGCGGCCGGCUUUAAUAAAAUAAUAAUGUGGACCCCUUAAUAAGCCGACAAAAAUAAUAAAUAAUUCUAGGAAUCAACGGACGGUCGUGAAAAAUAAACAUAUCGUAAAAAAUGAGUUCAGUCGUCCUAGAGGAAUUGAAAAGGCACGCGUUUUCUUGCUCUUAAAAGUCGUCAUUCGCUUUCAUGGGGGUUUCAGUUUUUAAAUACGUAAAGUUAAGAUUUAUUUUUAAUUAGUUUUUUGUUAAUCUUAAUCCCUCGAGUUGUUACCGAGAUGCGUGUGUGUAGUUGCAUUAAAAGCUAUCGAAGAAUAAAAAAACAUUUUAUUUAAAACUGCAAAAACCCCAAACAAAUAUUGAUUUCUUUUGAUUGGCAAACAAUUUUUUCUAAAAAUAUUUUAUAAAGAGAUUUUAAUAAAAAAAAUCUAACUUUAUUUUGAUAGAAUUGAAUCAACAUAGAGCUAGUUUUUUUUGUGACCUUAAACGAAUUGCAAUAAACCUACUAAUUUUUAAUUUAAACCAUAUAAAACAUAUCAAUGAUUUUUUAUCUGGCUUAAUGAUUACUUUUUAUUAUCUGCAUACAAAACUGUUCCUGGCAACCUCUUGAAGAUAUUAAUUGGUAGGAUGCAAAUAAUCUUUAUAAUCAUUUGUUCUUAGGCUUAUUUAGCCAAUGCUAAAAGUAAUUUAAACAACAAAUUAUCAUCAGUCUCUGAACAUAGCUUCUCCAAACCUAGUACCUCCUCUUCUCAGAACCUCGAAGGUAACAUAGUUUUCACACCUAUAUGAAAAAGUUAGGAUAAAGUACUAAUAGAAAUAAUGACAAAACAAAUUUAAUAAUAAUAAAACAAAUUAGCAUAGACGUCGUCGCGCGACAUUAUAAUGGCGAGCAAGUGUCUCAAAAGCAAAAUGACCUCUGGCCCAAAUCUAAUUCCUAGUUUUUUAGCUAAGGACUGCUCUGUUGCACUUACAGACCCUCUGCUCCACAUUUUUAAUCUGAUCCUUAACACAGGUAUUUUCCCCAAUAUCUGGAAGCUAGCCAAAGUUUGCCCUAUCUUUAAAAAGGGCGAUGCUGGAACAAUAGAGAAUUACCGCCCUAUAUCCAUUCUGUGCAAUUUCUCAAAGUUAUUUGUGUUGGCUCUUUAUAAAUUAAUAUUUCCCAAGGUUAAGUCCAUGCUGGCCAACGAUCAACAUGGCUUUGUUUCUGGCCGCUCAUGUACUACAAACCUAGCAUUCUUCUCUCAGUUUGUGUGCGAAGCACUUAAUGAUAGAGGUCAAAUCGAUGUUAUCUACACAGACUUUCAAAAGGCUUUUGACCAGAUUGACCACUUCAUCCUAUUAAAUAAGCUUGAACGCCAGUUUGGAUUCUCCGAUCACUUGAUAAAGCUCCUUAACUCCUAUUUAGUUGACAGCUCUCAGUUUGUAGUGGUCGAAGGCUUUAGAUCUGCUUGUUUUUCACCCACCUCUGGAGUUCCUCAGGGCUCUAACUUGGGCCCCCUUCUCUUUAACGUUUUUGCUAAUGACUUGAUCUCCACCCUCAAAUACUCUCGGUUAGCAUAUGUUGAUGACCUAAAGCUUUUCUAUAGGAUUGACUCUAUAGCAGAUUGUGGUCAACUGCAAGAGAACAUCAAUACCAUACACCAUUGGUGCACUUUGAACCGGCUUAACCUUAAUGUUUCCAAGUGUAAUGUGGCCAGCUACUUUUGAAUCAAAAGUCCAGUUGUUUUUAAUUACUCAGUUAAUGGAGAGUCUCUGGCAAGGUCUACCUGUUUUAAGGAUCUUGGAGUCACCUUUGACCAAAAAUUUUCUUUUAUCCCUCACAUCGAAGAUACUGUUUCUAGAGCUACUCGCAUGCUGGGCUUUAUUAUUAGAAAUUGCAUAAUUUUUUCGAACACUGCCACUGCCAAAACUCUCUACUAUGCAUUUGUUAGAUCCAGACUGAACUACAGCUCCCUCAUUUGGUCUCCCAUUUACAACCAGCACAUUCACCUAUUAGAAUCAGUCCAACGGCGAUUGCUUAAAAGUUUGGCAUUUAAGGAUGAUGGAGUCUAUCCUCCAAGGGGUUUUGACCAUAACCUGCUGCUCUCUAGAUAUACUGAACGGUCACUUGCGAAGAGGAGAGAAAUGCAUUCAAUUCAAAUUCUUGUUUAAUUUACUUAACCAUAAAAUUGACUGCCCAUCCCUUUUGCAAAGGAUUUGCUUUCAUAUACCACGCCCAGGAUCUAGACAGUGUCCAGUGUUUAACUUGGACACAGCCAGGUCCAACAUUCUGUACCAGAGUCCUAUUCACUUUAUGUGUCAAAACUUUAACACUAUUGCUGAUUCUUGUGACCAUUCACCAUGACAGUUUGGCACUUAUUUUGAGUCACCUGCAUAUGGUCGGUGGGGGAGGCUAGGUUAUUUAGUUUUUAGUUUGAAUACAUUUAUUUACUCAUUUUUUUUCUGCUCUUUUGAUUUACAUUAAUUCUUGAUUCUUAUCCUAAUUUAGUGUUGAUUUUUUAUUAUUUAUUUUCUCAACCUCACUACUUUUUUUUAUUAUAUAGCAAUUCUUUUAUAGUUUAGUUGCAUGAAUCUAAUACAGUUCAUGCAUUUGUACUUGUACAUUUAUAUAUUUAAUUGAUUCUCCUGUAACUGGGUAUAUGUAACCUUUUGGAAAUAAAGCUUAUUAUUAUUACUAUUAUUUUGGUAGGUUUAUUUAUUUAAUUUUUUUAAAUGUUCAUUUUUAGUUUCCCCGUAUUACUAAUGGAGUAUUAUGGGGAUUCUGUAUAAAUAUAUUUAUACAAAUAAAAACAUUUUUGGCAAAAAAGAUCUGCCACUCUACCCGAUUUUGAUAUUAGGAAGGGGUUGUUGUUAAAAAUAUAGCCUUAAAAUAAUAUUAAAAUUUGAUUCAGUUCAAAUCUAUGGUAAUGCGAUAUUAUUAUUGAUCAAAAACACCCUUAGAUUUUGAUUACUUCAUUAAUGAUACUAUUUUGAGUAGAUUAGAGCAAAUUACUGAUCUUUGUAUGACCUUUGACUCUGAAUUUACAUUCAUUCCACACUUCAACAACAUCCAUUACACCUCAGAAGAAUGAUAUUCUCUGUAAAAUUCCUGCAUGGGUUACUGAAUGGAUUCAUUGACAGUCCUGUACUUCUUUCUGGUGUACGUUUCAUGGUGCCUAGGCUUAAUGCUAGCAUCCCCUAACAUUCUUUCUGCCAAGGCCUCAUAUUAGUAUGAGGAUUCGAUUCCAAGGAGGAGCGAUUUCAACAGGAUGUUAGCAUCCUGUUGAAAUCGCCACUAUAUACAAUAUGCGCUAUAUUUAAUCCGAUCUGUCACAUGUGUGACAUAAAUUUAUCUCCGGUUCAUGUAAUUAUCGGUGGAUCAUUACUCUUGGGAUUAAGAACCAUGUGUUCAAGUUAUAGUUAGUAGGUAUAUUGCAGUUAAUUUAAUUUAAUUUAGUUGAAUAUGUGAUUAUCUUGUUAAACUUUUAGAAUUGGGUUUUUAUAUCAUAUUAAUAGUUAUUUGUUCUAAUAUUUUGGAUAACUUUUGAGAUUGUGACUUUACUUUUUUUCUUUUCUUUUCAUUCUUGUAGGUUUGGUUUUGUGUUUUUUUUUCUUUAAACUAUAUUUUUCAUUAUUUUGCAACUGUUUCCUGUUAUAGGGCAAGUUGCCUGUUGGAAAUAAAGGCUUAUUAUUAUUACAAACAACCUUUAGGAAAAACAUGGGCGUGCAAGACAAUCUAGUAUACCUCACAUCCCAUGUAAACCUAAGAUUUUCACAGGAGAUGGUAUUUGGUAAUAACUGCAGUUUUCUUGAACAUAAAGGCGGCAUUUGAUUCUGUUGAUAUUUACAUAUUAUACAACAAAAUGAAAAGGCCUAACAUCCCAGAAAAGAAGUGUGCAACAUAACCUUUAAGAGAAUAGAAAAAUAAUAACACGGAACCGCGAGGACAACCUAACAAAUCCAAAAAUAGCCACAAAAUGAUUUCCACAAGGAUCACCACUAAGCACACAAUAGUUUAGUAUCUACAUGAGAGAUAUAUUUAGAAUUAUUUCAAGGGACAUAGUAUUGAUGGCAUACGCUGAUGACCUCGUUAUGUGCACAAAAGAAAAAGCCCUCAUGAAAAUGCACAAAGAAUCAAUGAUGUACUCGAAACCUUAAAUGAGGUCAUUGGUUGACUGAGAAUAAACUUUCCCUAGCCGCAGAAAAAUGUAAAACAAUCCUCUUUUGCAAAGGAAAAAGGAAACAUGUCCUAGAACUAAUAAAGAUCAAUUGAAAGGAAGUACCACACAAAAAUAGCAUUAAAUAUCUAGACAUGACACUUGACUCCCAGAUGGACAGAGCAUAAUAUAUAGAAAACAUAUCAAUGAAGGUCACAGAAGGUCUUAAAACUUUUGUAGAGUAUGGUGGGAAGCAGAUCCGCAUUCAAUGCAAACAGCUUAUGCUGGACUUUUGCAGAUCACACAUCAACUUUGGAGGAUUCCUGUUAAAUCCACUGACCAAGAACAAUAAGAAAAAGCUUAACAAGAUACAAUAUCAAGCACUAAGGGUAAUACUUGGCACAAUGAAAUCAACCCCCACAAAUGUCCUACUCUCAGAAGCUGAACAGUGAAUAGAAUACAGAAAUAGAUGGCUAGCAACAAAAUUUAUUAACAAGAUCAUAACAAUAAAACCACCAAUGUGGCAACAAUAACUAUCCUGUUCUUACGAUUCUUGAAGAAAUUAAAAUCUGCCAAAUGCAAAAUGCAGACUAUUGGAAAACAAAGGAUGUUCCAUACCUUGUUACAGCUUAACUACCACUCUAUAUAUUUCAGAAAAAUAACCAAACAUGGCAUACAUCUACACUAUUCUACAGACUACAUAACAUACAAACAAUGCCUAUCCAAACUCUAAACCUAUAUAUAAAAAAAGGAGACAUACAGUAUUGGCCAUAAAAGUUGGAACUUUUAAAAAUUUAAAAUUUUUCCAAUGUUUUAAAUUUAUAUUUUAUUUUUGUACAUCCAAUCAAUAAACAUAUUUAUAAGUAAACAAAAAAGCAUGCCAGAAUUUCAAUCUUAUCUUGUUUCAGACAAUAAGAAAUACUUUACAUUUUUGUGCUGGACAAAAUGCUUGGAACUUUUUAUAAAAGAUAAAUUUUACAGGCAGUCUUUGACAUACCAGUGUGCAAUGGGUUCUUUUUAUUUAUUUUAUUUUGUGUUACCAUGGGAAAAGGCAAGGCCUAUUCCAGCGACGUUCGCCAAAGAAUUUUAGAUUGUAAUAAUGUAACAAUGAUUAAUAAUAAUGAAUAAAAUAAUGACUGCCUAACACCCUUGUAAAUCAGGGUGUUAGGCAGCAUAAUAUUGCUCAAAGACUAAACGUUCCUAAGAACACCGUGUCACGGAUAAUUAAGAAAUAUCGUAUAUUUGGAAAUGUGGUACCAGGUAAAAGCACAGGUAAAAGACCUAAAGCCACGGCUGCCCCUGUAGAUAGGCGAAUUUUAAAUAUUUCCCAGAAUGACCCAUUUUUGUCAUCCUCCAAAAUUUUACAAAAAUUAAAUGAAGGUGAGCCUUUUAAUAUCUCUGCAAGAACGAUAAGAAGGCGAUUGUGUUCUGGUGGACUUAACAGCUACAGACCUGCUAAAAAACCUUUGCUGCGGAAGAAAAAUGUCGAGUUACGCCUACAAUUUGGAAUGGAUCAUCUUAACUUGACUGUACAAGAUUGGAAAAAAAUGCUAUUCAGUGAAGAAUCUAAGUUCAAUCUGUUUUCCAGUGAUGGAAUACUUCAUAUAAGACGACCAAAAGAUGAAAGACUCAAGAAAAAGUUUAUCCGACCUAUGGUUAAACAUGAAGGUGGUAAUGUGAUAGUAUGGGGAUGCUUUUCUUGGUAUGGCACUGGGCCAAUACAUAAAAUUGUGGGGAAAAUGGAUCGAUUUAUGUAUCAGGAUAUUUUGCGAAAUAUAAUGGAGCCUUACACAUUUGAGUCUAUCCCAGUAAAUUUAGUAUUCCAGCAUAAUAACGAUCCAAAACAUUCGUCAAAAUUGGUAAAAGAAUAGUUGGACCAAGAAAAGAUAACAGUUUUAAAUUGGCCGGCCCAGAGUUUAGACUUAAACCCGAUUGAAAAUUUAUGGGAACAUCUGGAUCGCAAAAUUCUCACUCACAUUGACAGACAAAUAAUUGAAAAUUUGAUUGAAUCAAUGCCCAGAAGAAUUCAGGCAGUAAUGAAUGCUAAGGGUUACCAUACCAAAUAUUAAUUAUAAUAUUAUGGUUUCAAUAAGUUAUGUUUUAUGUUGUUUUUGAAUAAAAAUCAUUUAUUUCCAAGUAUUUUGUCCAGCUUUUUUAAAAUUUUUAUUCCGAACUGCUACUGGUGCUGAAUUUUUGUCAACAUUUAAAUUAAUUAACAGUAGUUUUUCGUGUACAACAACUUUAUAAAAAAAUUAAAUGCUAAUUAAAAGGCACACAAAAUAUAAUAAAUUUUCAAAAGUUCCAACUAUUAUGGCCAAUACUGAAGAUGCAAAGCAAAAUUUUAAAAAAAGCAAAGAUCAAUAAUUAGAACUAAAGUACACUUUUAUACAGGGUGUCCCGGUUCAUGUGGGAAAUCUCUUGGAUUCAGGUAGAACAUCGAAAAAUAAUACCGAACGUUCCUAUAAAAAAAAUUCCUACAGGCCUUCUUUACGAAGAUACAGCCUAAAGGACCUAAGGACGCUGCUGGAAAUUGGUUUUUCAUAAAUUACUUUUAAACUACCUGGUAGACUUUAAUACAAAUUUUAGGUGAUGAACACUAUUAGGGACCUCUUAAAAUGACAUCCUUAAAAUACAUUUACCUUGUCUACUUUACCAGGGCCGUACUAGGUUGUAUACUUUAAUGCGUAAAUUUGAAACACCCUGUAUGUUAAAGUCUAAAAAAAUAAAUUUGGAUACCUUGAACCCUAGGCUAAAAAAAAGGUACUCUUGUUUAUUAUCGAUAAAAUGAACCAUUUUGGAUAAAAAAAAUAAUAAACUAGCCAAUGUUUUUUUUUUAUUUUUUUUUAAAUGAGAUAAGUACUCUAGUUAUUUAAAGAACAGAGAAAUUUCGAUGUAAGUCAUUUAAUUUAAAAUAAUACAUGUUCCUAAAAAUACAGUGGUGUCCUAAAAAAUACUUUUACAAAAUUAUUAAAAAAAAACCUAUGAUGAGUGUAUGUUUUUAAAUUAGAAAAAACAACUUACAAAAAAAUGCCAAAAACCAAAUAUAUAAACAAAAAAUAAAUUCUUCAAUACAAGCAAUAAACAAUUAAUUAUUAAAAACUUCAUAAGUAGGUUCGACGUGGGCUCCGUGAACUCUAACACAUUCGCGGGCACGACGAAUCGAGGACUGCUGCACUCGCUGCAAUAACCCAAGAUUGUUUUUUAUAUUAUCACAAUGAAAUGUAAUUCUUUGGAGCAGUUCUUCCCGAGUAUCGACUGGGGUGGAAUACACCAAGGUUUUGAGGUGACCCCCAUAGAUAAAAAUCUAAUGGCGUUAGAUCGGGAGACCGAGGAGGCCAAGCAACAGGUCCUCCUCUACCUAUCCAACGGUUUUCAAAAGUAUUAUUUAAGUGGUGUCUUACAGCAAGGCUAAAAUGGGGUGGGGCUCCAUCAUGCAUAAAAUACAUAUCUCGGCGGGUUGCAAGGGGCAAAUCUUCUAAUAAAUCUGGAAGAUUGUUCUGGAAGAACUUCAAAUAAAGUUCUCCGUUUAAACGUGGUGGCAGUUCAAAUGGCCCAAUCAAAAAAUUGCCAAUAAUUCCUGGCCGGAUAUUUAUUGAUUGGAAUUGAUGUUGAUGAUGAGAAAUAAUAGUAUCACUGGGAUUUUCAUCAGCCCAUACAUGCGAGUUAUGUAAGUUUUCAAUUCCAUUUUUGGUUAAAGUUAGUUAGGGUUAUUUUGCUGCUGAUCUAACAGCCAGUUUGAGAAGUGUAUUCUAGGAGCAAAAUCUCUGGGCAGUAGUUCAUGCACUUUUUGUAAGUGAUAUGGGUACAACAGUUGUUCUUGAAGUACCAUAUGUACAAUUGUUUUGGACGAAUGAAGCUGAGCGGCUAAUUUUCGAGUACUCGUUGUAGGAGUGUCAGCUACAGAGUCUAAACUGUCAGCUAAUACUCUGCUGUUCUCCUCCGACCACCAUUAUUCUUUUUUUUUUUCAAAACAUCAUAAAAUUGCAUUAAGGAAAUUUAAUAGUAUUACCUCAAUAAGUGGAAAACAGAAACCUACCAGUUUCCCUUAUAUGUUGAUCAACACAUUGAAAUGUUUUCUGAUCCAGAAUAAUGCGAUUGGGAAAUCUUUCUUCGUACAAUCUUUUUGCUUCCAAUGCAUUGCAAGACGCCAGACCAUACAUAAGAUGCAUAUCUGCAUACUCAAUAAAAGUAAACUCCAUAUUUUGACGUAAUUUAAAUUAAAAGUUACCAAAAUAAUAUUAUCAAAUAAAGGAUGAAUAUGUUGACAAAGAUUAGGUUUAAAUGAUAGGUAUUUGCUAAAUUUGAAGUAUAACAACGUUUGUAACAAUAAUGCGUUCAAAAAUGCAAAAAUUCCGAUAAAUAAGUCAGGUACA